rnacentral:rRNA from 2 species
AGGUUGACCUCGGAUCAGGUAGGAAUACCCGCUGAACCUUCA